rnacentral:rRNA from 1 species
AGAGUUUGAUCCUGGCUCAGAAUGAACGCUGGCGGCGUGCUUAACACAUGCAAGUCGCACGAGAACUCUUCUGCUUGCAGAAGAUAGUAAAGUGGCGCACGGGUGAGUAACGCGUGGGUAAUCUACCUCUAACUCGGGGAUAACUUCGCGAAAGCGUUGCUAAUACCGGAUAUUGUCCCUUUUGCUGUGGCUAGAGGGAUGAAAGGUGACCUAUUCAUGAAAGUUGCCGUUUAGGGAGGGGCUCGCGUACCAUUAGCUUGUUGGUGGGGUAAUGGCCUACCAAGGCUGCGAUGGUUAGCUGGUCUGAGAGGAUGAUCAGCCACACUGGAACUGAAACACGGUCCAGACUCCUACGGGAGGCAGCAGUGAGGAAUUUUGCGCAAUGGGGGAAACCCUGACGCAGCAACGCCGUGUGAGUGAAGAAGGCUUUCGGGUCGUAAAGCUCUGUCAAGUGGGAAAAAGGACUUUCGGUCAAUAGCCGGAAGGAUUGAUGGUACCACUAGAGGAAGCACCGGCUAACUCCGUGCCAGCAGCCGCGGUAAUACGGAGGGUGCAAGUGUUGUUCGGAAUUACUGGGCGUAAAGAGCGUGUAGGCGGUUUGGUAAGUCAGGUGUGAAAGCCCUGGGCUUAACCCAGGAAGUGCAUUUGAAACUACCUCACUUGGGUAUGGGAGAGGAGAGUGGAAUUCCCAGUGUAGAGGUGAAAUUCGUAGAUAUCGGGAGGAAUACCGGUGGCGAAGGCGACUACCUGGCUGGAUACUGACGCUGAGGCGCGAAAGCGUGGGGAGCAAACAGGAUUAGAUACCCUGGUAGUCCACGCCGUAAACGAUGUCAACUAGGUGUAGGGGGUGUUGAUCCCCUCUGUGCCGGAGCUAACGCAUUAAGUUGACCGCCUGGGGAGUACGGUCGCAAGAUUAAAACUCAAAGGAAUUGACGGGGGCCCGCACAAGCGGUGGAGUAUGUGGUUUAAUUCGAUGCAACGCGAAGAACCUUACCUGGUCUUGACAUCCCGGAGAUCUCCUGGAAACAGGAGAGUGCUUUCAUUAGAGAGAAUCCGGUGACAGGUGCUGCAUGGCUGUCGUCAGCUCGUGUCGUGAGAUGUUGGGUUAAGUCCCGCAACGAGCGCAACCCUCGCCAUUAGUUGCCAUCAUUUAGUUGGGCACUCUAAUGGGACUGCCGGUGUCAAACCGGAGGAAGGUGGGGAUGACGUCAAGUCCUCAUGGCCUUUAUGACCAGGGCUACACACGUACUACAAUGGCCGAAACAAAGGGCAGCCACAGAGCGAUCUGGAGCUAAUCCCGUAAAUUCGGUCUCAGUCCGGAUUGGAGUCUGCAACUCGACUUCAUGAAGUUGGAAUCGCUAGUAAUCGUGGAUCAGCAUGCCACGGUGAAUACGUUCCCGGGCCUUGUACACACCGCCCGUCACACCACGGGAGUCGGUUGUACCAGAAGUAGUUGAGCGAACCCUUCGGGGAAGCAGGCUACCAAGGUAUGGCUGGUAACUGGGGUGAAGUCGUAACAAGGUAACC